rnacentral:rRNA from 1 species
AACGAACGCUGGCGGCGUGCCUAACACAUGCAAGUCGAACGGAAACGCCCUGCCUUUUUGCGCUGCUCGACUGGCGAACGGGGGAGUAACACGUAAGUAACCUGCCCUUGACUUUGGGGUAACCUCAGGAAGCUGAGGCUAAUACCGGAUAGGAGCUCCCGCUGCAUGGUGGGGGUUGGAAAGUUUCGGCGGUUGGGGAUGGACUCGCGGCUUAUGGGCUUGUUGGUGGGGUAGUGGCAUACCAAGGCCUGGAAGGGUAGCCGGCCUGGGAGGGGGACCGGACACACUGGGACUGAGAUACGACCCAGACUAGUACGGUAGGCAGCGGUGGGGAGGAUUACACAGUGGGCGGAAGGCUGGUGUGACACCGCCGCGUCGGGGAAGACGGGCUGCGGGUUGUGAAGCGCAUUCGCUUGAGACGAAGCGUGAGUGACGGUAACGGGUGAAGAAGCACCGGCUAACUACGUG